rnacentral:lncRNA from 1 species
GCACCACACCCAUACAUAGCAACUGUCGUUGUCGCAGGGCUUGAGAAAUCCUUCCAGAGGGGGAAAGAACAGAUUGUAAAUAUAGAUGUGCUAGUCAUCCGUCUACAAGCAGUCAUCAGCGAUGACUUGAAGGAAGCAAGACAGCCUGGAGGGCUGAGCACAGAGAUAUAAGAACAUGAACAUGCAGGACUUGGUCAAGAGGAGCUGCAAACAAAACUGAAAAGGGGCAAAGCCAUGGAGCACACAGCCCAUCUGUUCAAAGGGAACUGAGUCUGGACUCGGGAAAGUCUUCGCAGACCAAUACGAACUUCUUCUCUGUAAGGGCAGAGGCCCCCAAGCCACCAGGAGAGUGGUGGACAGGAUAAGAGGAAACACACACCUAAUGCAAAGAAAGCCCUUCUAGGAGUAGAAAGCCUGGCUCUCCAAGGAGCUGUCGUCUACUAAAGCAACAGGGUCUGCCACGCUCCAAACGCUCUUUCUGAGCAGGCCCCAGGCUUGGCGUCUCUGCACGGGAUUUCUCUCCUUGUCUCAAACUUGCAAACUUAGCACCAUCCCUUCUUUCAAGAUGAGAAAUGAAUUCAACGCGGACACGUGGCUUCCUGCCGCGGGCUUGCAGUGACAUAUAGAGAAUGCAGGGCUGAAUUCCAGAUUUAUCCAGAAGUGAACUAAGGCCUCUCCCAAGACAGGGUUUCUCUGUGUAGCCCUGACUGUCUUGGAACUCAUACCUAGAAAUGAAAGUUUUUCUGUGGAGUGGAGACAGCGUUGAUACUGGGUGAGGGAACUGCCAGUGUCAAGGAAAACAUCCAGGCUUCCUUAUGCCACAUGACAGAAGAAGGUGGCCUGUUACAUUAAAACACAGAGCCUUCAAUUACAGAAGAUUUCAAGAUCUGAGCAUAACCCUCUUAAAUAUCAAGUGACUGCUGCUCCGCCUUCACAACAGCGAUCCAGGAUCCAGACUCUCUAAAUUCUAUAACUGCAACAACGCUACUUGCCAACGGCAGCACUCCAAAUGGACUCUUUAUUUGACCUUAUCAUUAGUUUCAACUUUACACAGUGGCACAGAAAAAUAAGGGAAACCCUAAGAUGACAGCUGUCAAAGCUGACUGCAGAGCGGGAAGUCAUACUUUUAUGUCCCUAUAAUUAUCAUUUUAAACAGGUCAGGAAGAAUAAACUAAUUCAAAAUGGCAUAUUUUUACCUAACACCAAUAUCAGCAUAAAUCACAUUAACUAGAUUCUAAGGCUGCCAGAUUGCUGCCUUUCACUGGUCAUCUUUAAAUAUAGUGUCUAUUUAAAGCAAAGGUUCAUUUCUGUACAUUAAAAUAACAACAACAACAUUGUGUUUAGUUCUUCUAGAGAUUGAUAGCAUUUAGAACCACUGGAAUUUCCCUAAAUCUCCC